rnacentral:rRNA from 1 species
UGAGGAACCUGCCUUUCAGUGGGGGACAACAGUUGGAAACGACUGCUAAUACCGCAUGAAACUUUUUGGGGGCAUCCCUGGGAAGUCAAAGAUUUAUUGCUGAAAGAUGGCCUCGCGUCUGAUUAGCUAGUUGGUGGGGUAACGGCCCACCAAGGCGACGAUCAGUAGCCGGUCUGAGAGGAUGAACGGCCACAUUGGGACUGAGAUACGGCCCAGACUCCUACGGGAGGCAGCAGUGGGGAAUAUUGGGCAAUGGGCGAAAGCCUGACCCAGCAACGCCGCGCGAAGGAAGAAGGCCUUCGGGUUGUAAACUUCUUUUACCAGGGACGAAGGACGUGACGGUACCUGGAGAAAAAGCAACGGCUAACUACGUGCCAGCAGCCGCGGUAAUACGUAGGUUGCAAGCGUUGUCCGGAUUUACUGGGUGUAAAGGGCGUGUAGGCGGAGAUGCAAGUUGGGAGUGAAAUCCAUGGGCUCAACCCAUGAACUGCUUUCAAAACUGUAUCCCUUGAGUAUCGGAGAGGCAAGCGGAAUUCCUAGUGUAGCGGUGAAAUGCGUAGAUAUUAGGAGGAACACCAGUGGCGAAGGCGGCUUGCUGGACGACAACUGACGCUGAGGCGCGAAAGCGUGGGGAGCAAACAGGAUUAGAUACCCUGGUAGUCCACGCUGUAAACGAUGAAUACUAGGUGUGGGAGGACUGACCCCUUCCGUGCCGCAGUUAACACAAUAAGUAUUCCACCUGGGGAGUACGACCGCAAGGUUGAAACUCAAAGG